UGCUUAACACAUGCAAGUCGAACGGAAAGGCCCAAGCUUGCUUGGGUACUCGAGUGGCGAACGGGUGAGUAACACGUGGGUGAUCUGCCCUGCACUUCGGGAUAAGCCUGGGAAACUGGGUCUAAUACCGGAUAGGACSAUGKUUUGGAUGCYRUKGUGGAAAGUUUUUUCGGUGUGGGAUGAGCUCGCGGCCUAUCAGCUUGUUGGUGGGGUAAUGGCCUACCAAGGCGUCGACGGGUAGCCGGCCUGAGAGGGUGUACGGCCACAUUGGGACUGAGAUACGGCCCAGACUCCUACGGGAGGCAGCAGUGGGGAAUAUUGCACAAUGGGCGCAAGCCUGAUGCAGCGACGCCGCGUGGGGGAUGACGGCCUUCGGGUUGUAAACUCCUUUCGCUAGGGACGAAGCGUUUUGUGACGGUACCUGGAGAAGAAGCACCGGCUAACUACGUGCCAGCAGCCGCGGUAAUACGUAGGGUGCGAGCGUUGUCCGGAAUUACUGGGCGUAAAGAGCUCGUAGGUGGUUUGUCGCGUCGUUUGUGUAAGCCCGCAGCUUAACUGCGGGACUGCAGGCGAUACGGGCAUAACUUGAGUGCUGUAGGGGAGACUGGAAUUCCUGGUGUAGCGGUGGAAUGCGCAGAUAUCAGGAGGAACACCGAUGGCGAAGGCAGGUCUCUGGGCAGUAACUGACGCUGAGGAGCGAAAGCAUGGGUAGCGAACAGGAUUAGAUACCCUGG
rnacentral:rRNA from 1 species